rnacentral:lncRNA from 1 species
AUGCAACUUUUCACUGCAUGUUUCUGCCUGGAUCAGGCCCUACCCCACAGCCCAGCCCCUGCCUCCCUCCCUGUCGGCAGGAAAGAAGUGAACAAGUCAGUACCGACCUGGGAGGCCUGGGUGGAGCGGUGUGUAUGCUAUCACAGAAGUGGUCUGCUCCACCUCAGGGCUGCAAGCUCGCUGGAGCCAGCGCGCCGGGCAUCGCCCCGAGGCGCUCAGCAGCUCUUUGUACUCGCAGAGCGUCUCCUCGCAUGCGGCAGGCACCAGACUUUCUCCUGCCUUAGCAAGCAAGUUAUAAUGGCCCAGUCAUCGGCAACAUGUGGCCAAAUCCUCAAUGACAUUUCCUGUUUUUAAAUGGCAAUCAGUGGGCGUGACGUAGCAGUCCUGAGUGCAGCAGCAGGUAAUUGCCCACCAAACACAGCGAAGCUCUUAUCAAAGCAGUGGAUCUCUUCUGAUAGCGCACUGUAUCUGCAUAUUAAUAUUUGAUAGUUCGUGGACAAUUUGCAAAUUUGUAAUGAGGAAAGAAAUACCCUGGGAACUGCUUGCUCGCAAAUACUUUCCAGAGUAUUUCAUUACAUAUUACGUAUUUGUAAGCAAGUCCUUGCCAGUAUUGGCAUUCCCGAGUCGUCUACACUUCAGGAAAGCACAGAUGCGGGGCAGGCUACUGGUGUCCGCAUGAUCACAGCUGGGGAUGUUUCUGUGCCAGCACCAUUUGAUAGAAACCUCCACCACAGCAAGAUAGGAGGGGAUCUGCUACCUGUAUGACUCGGUGAAAAUGGAUCAGAAAUGCAACAUACUGCUAUAUUUUUCUAGUCUUUAUGCAACUACCUGAUGUGCUGAUUUCUUCCACAACAAGCCGUUUUCCUCCUUUCAGUAAAAGUUACCCACCUAGGUCCAGAAAUGCUAAAACUCUGUUUUUCUUAAUUUUUCUCAACAUUUUUCUAAAAAGCUGGAACCAUUAAAUAGCAGAAAUUGCACAGUAAUUGCCAUGAAACACAAGAUUUCAGACCAGGACAGUGGAGGCCUGCCAGAGAAAGUCACAGGGUGCUUUCGCCUGAGCCAAAGUGGAAGGGUUUGGCACAAAAGGAAGAUCAGAGUAUAUGAAAUCUAAUUUCUUCCCCAAAAAUAGCAACUGCAGUUGUAGUCGUAAAUGAGCCCCCUUAAGAUGUAACGUGUAAAGAGGGUGAUACAAUUGUCAGGAUUAGCAGGAUGCUCUACAAAUUUAAUGGAAAAAAAACAACAAAUGAAGCCAUGCCAGCACUGAAUUACUGCAUGGAUGAGUUGGCUUCCAGCCUUUACCGCCUGCACGGAGGAUAAAGGACCAGCUUCGAUCACAGCUGGGCAAGAUGAGCUGGCUGCAGCGAGCAUUAGGACAUGCACUUGGUUUGACUCAAUCACAGCUCUUCGGUGAUGGCUGUGUGACAUGCAAUGUCUGCUAACUGACCAAGUUUGGUCCUCACUGCACUUGGUGCUUUAUGGGCACGGAGCAGGCAUUGUCCCCCAAGCUCACAGUGGAUGUGCAGCUUUUUCGGUGGAAAGUCCUCUUUGGCUGGGCCACCCUUCGCUGAGUGGGCAGUGGGAGAUGCUGGGUUUCCAUGCAGGGACAAGUGCCUCUGGCUCGCAGGUAGCAGCACUGCCAGCAGGCUCUGAGCUGGCCAUGGUGAGGAGUUGAAGGCCAGGUUUGCUGGGUGGAGCAAGGCUCGAUGGUUUCGUGCCUGUCGCCUCGCUGCAAUGUGCUGUUUAACAUUUACCAACAGAUGCAAAGGUCCUGUGAGUAAUGCAUGGGGAAAAUCAAGCAGCAAGAUUUCAGCUCUCCAAACCGACCAGCUGCUAACCUUGCAGAAAGCACGGAGGUGAGAUUAAACGUGGGAUUGCAUAUUUAACUGCAGCUGCAGAGGCUGGCAGCCUUUGCUCCGGGCCAGCCUGGGUCAGGUUGCCUUGCUAGGGCAGUGGCACUGUCCCUGCUGUCACUGUUCCCAAACAGUCCUCAGGAUUUUGUGUAAGUGAAAGCUUGACCAAAGGUCUCCUGUCUCUUAGGCAGGUGUUACCUGCUGGGCUUUGGAUUGUGUGUAUUCUAAGAGAUAUAAAAAUAUACAUUUAUAAAAUUUAUAAAUAUAUUUUAAAUCUUCUGAGCCUGAACCUUCUGGCUGAGGCCAUAAUUAUGUGAUUUAUUUAUAUGUAGGUAAUAUAUAAUUCAUUUUAUACUUGCGUGAUGUUUUUAUUUAAGUAACAACACAUUCAGUAGAUCCUGAGUAAUCAAGUGUCCUGUCCAGAAAACUGAAUGCUCCUCCCUCGCUCUGUUUCCUCUGGCUGAUUUUCAUGUCCUCCAGGCAAAGAGUUCACCUCCCAAGGAUUUUGCAGACAUGAGCUGCAGAUUCCCACCAGAUAUGUGCGACGAUACCUGCAGAUGUACAAGUGUAUGCAAGUGACAAUAUCCUUGCGUGUGUCUGUGUACACACAUAUAUAAGUGUUUCCCAUGGAAAGGCAGGUGAUUUUCCAGAAAAGCCUUUGAGAUGCUUGAUGGUCCUGCCAGGAGAUGUGCUUCCAAGGGUGCUGUGUUUCUGGGCCAUGCUCUUAGACACCGUCCUCACUGCUGACGUGCCUGUAGCUGGCAGGGACUUCUCCAGGGCAGCGGGAAGCAAUCUCCUGCGGGCUGUGGCUGUGCCUGCUGCCCGGAGCAAACCAGCCCCUUUCUACAGACAAGCUACAGAAACAUUUCCCCAAAGCCUACAGCACAUCAGGAAUGUCUCCUUGGAGUUUUCUUCCUUCUCUCCCUCUGGCCAAUAAAAUGUUAACUCUAUAUCUUAAAAAUAAGGAA